CAGUCGCCGCGGUAAUACGGAGGGUGCAAGCGUUAUCCGGAUUUAUUGGGUUUAAAGGGUCCGUAGGCGGAUCUGUAAGUCAGUGGUGAAAUCUCACAGCUUAACUGUGAAACUGCCAUUGAUACUGCAGGUCUUGAGUAAAUUUGAAGUGGCUGGAAUAAGUAGUGUAGCGGUGAAAUGCAUAGAUAUUACUUAGAACACCAAUUGCGAAGGCAGGUCACUAAGAUUUAACUGACGCUGAUGGACGAAAGCGUGGGGAGCGAACAGGAUUAGAUACCCCCGUAGUCCCUGUCUCUUAUAU
rnacentral:rRNA from 1 species